AACGCACCUUGCGCUCCUUGGUAUUCCGAGGAGCACACCUGUUUGAGUGUCGUGUAAUUCUCAACCUACAAGGUCUUUGUGGGCCUUGUUAGGCUUGGAUAUUGGAGGAUAUAAUUGUCGGCAUGAGUCGGCUCCUCUUAAAUGCAUUAGCUUGGUCCUUUGUGGAUCGGCUCUCGGUGUGAUAAGUUGUUUAUGCCGUGACCGUGAAGCAUUUUCUAUGGGAAAGGAGCUUAUAAUCGUCUCUUCACUUGAGACAAUACACUUUGACAUCUGACCUCAAAUCAGGUGGGACUACCCGCUGAACUUAA
rnacentral:misc_RNA from 1 species